rnacentral:rRNA from 1 species
GACAGCAGCCGCCGCGGUAAUACAGAGGGUGCGAGCGUUAAUCGGAUUUACUGGGCGUAAAGCGUGCGUAGGCGGCUAAUUGAGUCGGAUGUGAAAUCCCCGAGCUUAACUUGGGAAUUGCAUUCGAUACUGGUUAGCUAGAGUGUGGGAGAGGAUGGUAGAAUUCCAGGUGUAGCGGUGAAAUGCGUAGAGAUCUGGAGGAAUACCGAUGGCGAAGGCAGCCAUCUGGCCUAAUACUGACGCUGAGGUACGAAAGCAUGGGGAGCAAACAGGAUUAGAUACCCCCGUAGUCCCUGUCUCUUAUAA